AGCAGGAGCGAGAGCCCGAGCAGCGCCAUAAGCAACACUACCAUCAUCCCUAGCACUGUGGGUCCAUGCCCCAGCGGCAGACCUAGUGGCAGAGGUGGUGGUGGCAGAGGCAGCGGCACCGAGGUAAUCCAGGUGACUAAUGUCUCCCCGAGCGCUAGUUCUGAGUUGCAGACUCUCUUCGGUUUCCUAGAUAAGACUGACAAAUUGUGCCUCUUCCCACCAGAUGAUUCACCUUUGCCAGUUUCAUCUCGUGUCUGCUUUGUUAAGUUCCAUGAUCCAGACUCAGUAGCUGUGGCACAGCAUCUGACAAACACUGUAUUCACUGACACAGCUUUGACAGUCGUACCACAUGCAGAAGGAGUUAUUCCUGAUGAGGCUAAGGCUUUGUCUCUGUUGGCACCAGCUAAUGCAGUGGCAGGUCUUCCGCCCGAUGGUGGACUUCUGCCUACUCCUAACCCACUUACCCAGAUUGGUGCUGUUCCACUGGCUGUUUUGGGGGCUCUUACUCUUGAUCCCACCCUUGCUGCACCUGGGCGUCCUGGAGCAAACUUGAACUCUCAGUCUCUUGCCACAGAUCAGUUGCUGAAGCUUAUGAGUACUGUUGAUCCCAAGUUGAAUCAUGUAGCUGCUGGUCUGGUUUUACCAAGUCUGAAAUCGGAUACCUCCAGUGAAGAAAUAGAGGAAGCUAUGAAAAGAGUACGAGAAGCACAGUCCCUAAUUUCUGCUGCUAUAGAACCAAAUAAGAAAGAAGAAAAAAGAAGGCAUUCAAGAUCAAGAUCACGCUCUAGGAGGAGAAGGGGGACUCCCUCUUCUAGACAGGUGGUCAAGAAACAGAUCGAGAGGGCAAUCACAUUCUAAGCCUAAGAGUCGGCAACGAUCCAAAAGCCCAAGACGGAGAAGAUCUCAUUCCAGAGAGAGAGGUAGAAGGUCAAGGAGCACAUCAAAAAUGAGAGACAAAAAGAAAGAAGACAAAGAAAAGAAAUGUUCAAAACCACCACCAAAAAGUUACAGCACAGUCAGAUGUUCCAGACGUUCAAGCAGAGAGAGACGACAAUGCAGAGACAGGAGUGGAACAAGAUCUCCUAAAAAGCCUCAGUCUCCUAAAAGAAAAUUGUCUCGCUCACCAUCCCCUAGGAGACAUAAAAAGGAGAAGAAGAAAGAUAAAGACAAAGAAAGAGGUAGGGAUGAAAGAGAACAAUCAACAAGCAAGAAGAAGAAAAGUAAAGAUAAGGGAAAGGACCAGGAAAGAAAAUCAGAGAGUGAUAAAGAUGUAAAACAGGUUACACGGGAUUAUGAAGAAGAGGAACAGGGGUAUGACAGUGAGAAAGAGAAAAAACCAACAGAAACAGGUUCCCCUAAAACAAAGGAAUGUUCUGUGGAAAAAGGAACUGGCGAUUCACUAAGAGAAUCCAAAGUGAAUGGGGAUGAUCAUCAUGAAGGCAUGGAUAUGAGUGACUGAAUACUGCCUCUGUGGGAAUCCAACUGUAUACCUGCAUCAGUGUCAUUCCUUCAUGUAAUUUCUUAAUGCUGUAUUUGUUCAUCUCAAAUCUAGAUGUAUACACCUCUGAGUUAUAAAUGGUUAUAAAGCUCCUGUUACUGAUGUUAGUUAUUCACAUCAAAAAGCUUUUAGAAAAUGGUACAAGGUAGCCAAUUCUUGUCAUGGUGAAAUCUGAUUAACCAGGCAGUUUUACUAUUCUGGUGCUGCUUCAUAACAAAAAUGAAAAGCUGCAUGCGUCUACAGCAGGCAUGGAUUGUUUAUGUCGUAUGAUCUCCUUUAUUAAGUAAGUUCACUUACAGUAUUUCUAUAAUUUGAUUCAUUGCCAUAAUAGAGCCAUGUAGGAAAUGCACUGAUUGCAUGUUAUUGUGGCAAGAAUAUCCUAAAUGUCAUUAAAAUCCUUCAACAUGAUGGAUCUACUUAUGGUGUUGUUUGUUGACAUGACAAAUUAACAUUCUUACAGUUACAUCUGGAAAUGAGCAUUUGCAAUAGAUAAUCCUUUAAGCUUUGUGGUAAAAUUUUGUGGCUUUUGUUUAAGUUUGAAAGGUUAUUAUGCACUAACCUUUUUUGGUGUCUAAUUAGGGUUUAAAUAUAGAAACAAGAUUUCAAAUAAAACUGUCUUUGGCAGUGAGUAAACAGCAUAUUUUGAAGUAGAGUUGUAUACUUUUUCUUAAGAUGUUUGGGAAUUUUUUUUCCUGAAGUUAAUAAUUUAUUCCAUAUCUACAUGAGUGAAUGUUAUCUACCUAUCCUAGGUCCAUCUUAAAGGGGAAAGUAAAAAAAACAUCUCUUGCCCUUAUUUUGAAUUUUCAGUAAUUUAAGUUCAGUGUUGG